UACCAGCUCUCCGAGUGGUGUGGAUGUUUAUUGGGCCUAAAGCAUCCGUAGCUGGCUGGGCAAGUCCCCUGUUAAAUCCACUGAUUUAAUCAUUGGAGUGCGGGGGAUACUGCUCGGCUAGGGGACGGGAGAGGCAGACGGUAUUUUCGGGGUAGGGGUGAAAUCCUAUAAUCCCGGGAAGACCACCAGUGGCGAAGGCUGUCUGCUAGAACGCGCCCGACGGUGAGGGAUGAAAGCUGGGGGAGCGAACCGGAUUAGAUACCCGGGUAGUCCCAGCUGUAAGCGAUGCAGGCUAGGUGUUUGGGCGGCCACGUGCCGCUCUAGUGCCGCAGGGAAGCCGUUAAGCCUGCCGCCUGGGGAGUACGGCCGCAAGGCUGAAACUUAAAGGAAUUGGCGGGGAGCACCACAAGGGGUGAAGCUUGCGGUUU
rnacentral:rRNA from 1 species